GAUGAAGAACGCAGCAAAAUGCGAUAAGUAAUGUGAAUUGCAGAAUUCAGUGAAUCAUCGAAUCUUUGAACGCACAUUGCGCCCGCUGGUAUUCCGGCGGGCAUGCCUGUUCGAGCGUCAUUUCAACCCUCAAGCCCCCCGGGUUUGGUGUUGGGGAUCGGCUCUGCCUCACGGCGGUGCCGCCCCCGAAAUACAUUGGCGGUCUCGCUGCAGCCUCCAUUGCGUAGUAGCUAACACCUCGCAACUGGAACGCGGCGCGGCCAUGCCGUAAAACCCCAACUUCUGAAUGUUGACCUCCGAUCAGGUAGGAAUACCCGCUGAACUUAAGCAUAUCAAUAAGCGGAGGA
rnacentral:misc_RNA from 1 species